ensembl:lncRNA
CAGACAUGAACUAGGCAUGGGCAGCAUUCCACAGGGACACAUGCGGGAUCACACUAAGAGCAAGCCAGAGACAGUGUCCUGAUCAACAGCCUCCUCCCCCAGUUCCGCAGCCCCUUUUCUCUCUGCAAAGAGAACAACAGUGAGAAUUGACAAAAAACAGCCGGUAGAAAACACACUACCCUCCCCCGGCGGGGAGCCGGAAACAGAGAAUAUUGAUGGCAUCUGACUAGUGCAUCAGGCACAAGGGGCUUCUCCCAGCCACCACGAUGUGACAGCUUUGCUCCUUCACACCCUUCUGCCGUGAUGUCCCUGCCUUGGAGCCAGGUGACCAUGGACUGAAUCCCCCAAACCAUGAGCCAAUCAAACCUUUCCUGCUUCAGCUUAUGAAUGUCAGGUGUUUUACCUCAGCAAAUACGAUGGUUAUGAAUAUGAAUUCUCAACAGAUGGAUAUCACUGUCAAACUUCAUCACUAACUGGUUGUCAUAUUUUACCACAUCUCAUAGCAAUGGAAGGUACAAAUUUGAACCAGACACCGACCCUCCUUUGAACUUGUUAUAAACUGAUACAAUAAAUCCUCUGCCUCACCUGGGUUAAUCUUGGGGUCCUGCUCUGACUGAUUGAAAAUCAGUUUAUUUCACAACAGGGAAAGGUCUGGGCUGAAGAAAAUCACAAGUUUCGGA